ACCGUGUGGCCUUGGAAUCGUCAGAGAAAAACUCGAGGCUCCAGACUCGAUACUAAAUCGGUUGCCGCCUAUUCUAUAAUUCCAAUUCUUUUGAUUGCUCCAUUUUUGCUCUGGAGUGCAUUUCCAUUUGUUCUUUUCUCCACUGCCUAAAAGAUCCCUGUCUCUCUCUCUCUCAUCCCUCUGUGGAUCGAUCUGGACCAGACAUUUCUCUUAACACUUGGAAUAUUAUCGCCCACACUCGCAUAUUCUCUGUCUCUCUCCAGCCAUGAAGUCUUUUGAGAGGAAAAGGACCAUUUGGUGAGCUAUGGCGCCCGAAACUCUUCUCCAUGGCGGGGGCCCUCAGCUACCCAUGCUCCCGCCUGCCCAAAAGCCAAACUCUGCUUCUUCAAUGGUGCUGUGCAUUUCCAAGUACAUGAAGAAGAGGCAGGAGUUUGUUAUGCCUCUCUUUGCUUUCUCUUCUUCAACUUUGAGAUGUAGGUCGCGAAGCUUGCAUCAUCAGAUUCUACAAAGCAAAACCCCCAAGGCUUCAAGGCAUGGAAAUAUUCCUUCUAGAGAUGAUGAAAGAGUUCCUUGUGAGGGAUCAGAAAAAUGGGAAGUUGACACAAGUAGUCAUGGGAGCUCACUGAUUGUUAAAUUAGCAGUUGCAUUGGGAGUAGCUGCAACAGUCACUAUAUUAUGUGCCUGGUUUAAGAAGCCUUCUUUGAGGUCUUCUUUUGGUGUUCCUUUUCUAGUUAAUGGUUCAUCAACAUCUGUUUCCACAACUGUUCCUGUUGGCUUUACCUUGAAACUAUUUGGAUAUGAUAUAUUCCUACCAGAACAUACACCGGGGUGGAUCUAUUUCUGGUUGCUUAUGGCUGCAGGAUGUGGACUUUUCAUUAGUGAGGAGGCGCUCAAUAUAUGGGUUGGCAUAUCUUUAGCUCGAAUGCUUUCCCUUGAUGGCUCUUGGAAGACAUUCUCUUUGUCAUUUUCAAAUAAUUCUUCCUACAUCAUUUCUACAAUUCUUUGGGUCUACUGGGGGGUGUGCAUCAGUGACAUGAUACCUUUUUACCUUGGCCAGUUUGUUAGGCAGAAGACCAAGGCACCUGAUGAAAUUUGUUCUAAGCUGGGAAUAUCUAAGGAGAAGUCAGAAAAUGUUGCCAGUGCUGUCCAGAAGUAUGGUAAUCUCAUAGGAUUUGGUUUAAAUGAUCUUUUCUGUCCAAGGCUUGUUGAUUUUAUCUCUUCUCGAGCAAAGCUUUUGUGCAUCUUCACAUGGCUGAGAUGUGGUCAACCUUCUAACAUGAUUCGAGAGGUUCUCACUUGGCGUACGGAAUCCGACGGCUUUUUUUGCAGGGGCCAUGAUAUAGACUCUAAUGAAGGGACUAACAACUUCAAGUUAUUGAGAGAAGGAUGGACCUACCCGCAAUGCCAUAAGAAGGGAGAGGCAGCAGAGUGGAGUGCAACACCAAUCAGAUUAUCAUCCAAAUAUGUAGACCACCGGACUCAUGCCCGUCACCAAUCAUCCUCCUCGUCCUUUGAUCUUGAAAGAUACAAGAAGAGGGGUAAGAAGUUAUAGAGCAAUGAAGAGAUUUAGUUAAUUUGCUUACAAACAAUAAAUUGAGAGGAAAUUUUGAAGCAUUAGCACAAAAGACAGAGAAAGCAUACUUAUACGUUGUCUGGACACACUAGACAACGAUUGAUCAGCCAAAGUAACAGAGAAAUAAGAAAUACACUUAUCUAGAGAUACAACAAUAGGGGACUAGCUAGUCAUGUAGUCAGAAGCUCUUGAGUCAGUAACCCAAGGAGUAGGUCUCUGAGAUGCAUGAGGCAUAAAAUUACCUGAGCAAGAAUGGCUGUGAGAUGCAUGAGGAAUAAAAUUACCUGAGCAAGGAUGGCUGUGGAAGUAGAAGGAUGGGCAGUAGGCUAAUGUACUUGUUCAACAAAUUUAUUAUAUUCUUCUCUUAUAAGCACAAGGCAGCUGUUUGCAGGAUGUGACUAUAGGUGAUGAUUAGGCCCAUUUAGAUAGACAUCAUUGCCCUCAGAGGUGUAAGUAACUUGAUUUUCCCUAAAAGGCUUGCCAAUCUUAUCCCAACACUAAUUACGCACAAUGCGUAUGCUUUUGAGUUACAUGAUGGUUGCCUCCAUCACCUCUACCAUGAUCCCUUCCUGAGUCACAACCACGUCUCCUACCUCUGCUCUCUACGUUCUCUCUGUCUCAAUGUGUCAAGACCGUCCCAUGGUUGCAUGUUGCUGCUUCUAGGUUCUCAAUUUUAGUGUGGAUUUCUUGUAGAUCCAAGUUUGUGAUUUCAUUUAGAUAUCUAAUAAUGCUUGAGAAUUGCCUUUUCUCAAUUUGUUAUUUCUUUUAUGAACUAUUAAGUACGACACGAAAACAAUCAAAACUAGCAUUGAGCAAUGAAUGCAACAUGAAGCAUUUUAGAAUCUUCUCGCUUAGGGUCGUUUGGGUACUUGAAAAUCUAUUAAUUGAAAACAAAUUACAAAAAAGUAAAAAUAAAAAAUAAAUUAUCUGAUAUUUAAAAAAAAUUUAUGAAACUCAUUACGAGUAGGGAGGGACUAAAAAAUCUAUUACGCGCCUGUUAAGUAAUCCAUUAUGCACGCAUCCUCAAAUAAAAAGAAAGCUCGCCUCCCUCUUUCUCUCUCUACCCAACCAUACUCUCCCUCUUCUCUCUGUACCCGACCCUUGUCUCCAUCUUCUCUCUCUGCCCAUGGCUCUCGCGACUCCCACCUCCUCCUCCUCGUUACCCGAAGGAGACACAGAGCUGGAGCCCUCUCUCACUCCUUGCCCUAGAAAACCUCCUGGUCCAUGGACCCACGAAGAGAUGGUUCUUGAGUCUCAACAACAUGUCGCGGAACUCCUUGCUCGGGCCUUGCAUUCCACGAAGAAGUUUAGGAGGGAUCCAUCAUCUGAGUCCUAGAGGGAUCGUAAGGGUGAGCUCUUCUUUUGGGGGAGUUUUGAUGUAAGACCUUUUGGAGAUGGGUUUUGUUGGUUUAGCGUUUUGAUGGCGGUUAGGGGCCUUUAGUUGGGUUUUAAAGAAGCUAAGUUUAUGGGAUUUAAUGAAGGAUAGCUGCAAAGAAGCUAUGGUCUUCUCCAUAUGACUGCUGCUUUAACGGAUACUCCAUACUCCGGCCUAGAAAACCCCCUCGCCCUAGAAAACUCCCCGGUCCAUGGAACCACGAAGAAACUCUGAUUAUUCACAGGUUGCAGGGCAAAUGUUGUUGCUGGAUUUGGUUAGUUGCAAGGCAAAUAUUGUAGCCAUUGUCGAGCCAUUUUUGGAUGCUCAAUCAAGUGUAGGUGAUGCCAAUGCGUAGGCUCACAGGUGAUUUCAUUAUGUCCAAUGAAAUUGGGCGAUUGGAGAAGGUUGGGGUAAUUCUUCUUCGCCACUGUUCCAGAGAGAAGAUUAUGAAGAUGAGUACUGUAAAAUUGAGAGAGAGACAAUGGGUUAUGGUCAGAGAGGGGAUUCUGAUGAUGGGUUCCUGGAGAUUUUAGAGAGAGAAAUUGGUUGGACAAGAGAAAAUUUGAGGAUGAGUGCCUGUAAAUUUGAGAGUUUAUGGUCCUGCAGAUUUUAGAGAGAGAAAUUGGUUGGAAUAGAGAAAAUUUGAUGAUGAGUGCUUAAAUUUGAGAGUUUAUGCUCCUGCAGAUUUUAGAGAGAAAUUGGUUGGAAGAGAGAAAAUUUAUGGAUGAGUGCCUAUAAAAUUGAGAGUUUAUGGCCAGCGAGAGAAGGGGAUAUCUUCUGAGUGUUUUUUUGCUGGAGUUUGCUGUGGUGGUUUAAUAACUCUUCCCAUCCAGUUCGGGAUUGGAUUCUUUUUGAGA